rnacentral:lncRNA from 1 species
CCCCUCCAUACUCAAGCAAAUCAAUAACAAUUGCCUAAACAUGCUCAAUCUCACGAGAGAAAGCCAUAGCCUACCUGAAAGCCGAUCACGCGUGCUCCGACUCACGGUACCGGAUCUUUUCCUCUUCGAACGGUCUCCAAAUGCUUCCCCACUAACAACAGGUUAAUCACCUCGUCAUUACUAAUAUAUUGACACUAAAAUUAUAUUUUUCGGAGACGGACCCAAGAUCGGGUCUAAAACGGGAUUGUGGGGCCCACACUUAGAAUCUCAAAAUCGAAUCCGUGGAAACGUCCCAACUACCUUACUAAACUAAUAUCCCAAAAUUUUAGCACAAACAGAUGCCUACAACACCGCAAAUCAGCCACAAUAAUUAAAAAGGGCAGCCCCUUGAUCACCAAUUUUCGGAAAAACGAAACCCUUUCAACCCAAACAGAUUAUACCUCGACGAUCCUUGCGAAAAACUCUACAAGUUAGCCCCAAGAAUGACUCAAAACGGACUUACGAUUAUCAAGAUCUCACAUUUCAAAAUUCAACAACAAUACAAUCCGGAAAUCACCCUGGCAGUGGCUAAAAUCAAUUCCUUACCUCAAACGAAGCCUCCCCUCGCGUUUCUGAGAUCACUGCUAGAUUCCCCUCGAAAUUCUCUUGAAGUUUGCCUUUUGAAUCACUUAAUUUGGACUCAAAAUGAAGGAGCAAUC